rnacentral:rRNA from 1 species
UACGUAGGGUGCUAGCGUUGUCCGGAAUCAUUGGGCGUAAAGCGCGUGUAGGCGGUCCGGUAAGUCCGCUGUGAAAGUCGGGGGCUCAACCCUCGAAUGCCGGUGGAUACUGUCGGGCUAGAGUGCGGAAGAGGCGAGUGGAAUUCCUGGUGUAGCGGUGAAAUGCGCAGAUAUCAGGAGGAACACCAAUUGCGAAGGCAGCUCGCUGGGACGUAACUGACGCUGAGACGCGAAAGCGUGGGGAGCAAACAGG